AUGAAGUAAUGGUUUUAAUUUUGUUUUGUUUUCUUUGCUUAAAUAAACAGGAGGAUCAGCACUGGAACAUUAAAUGCCAUGUAGAAGUGGUGCUGUUGAGCCUUUGGCUGAAGUUUCAUGAUCAGAAGUGAUAUGUCAGAGACUCUGGAUGAGACCAUUCCACUCAUUAAAGACAAGGUGCUGGAGAGGAACCACAUCUGUGCCAAAGUUGAUAAACUUGAGACAUCCUCUGCCAGCAGCUUACCCCUAUGACCUGCCAGAACUCCACUGAACUGAAGACUUUUUUCCUGUGGACUAUCCAGCAGCUGCCUGCAACACAGUGGGAGGAAGGAACACAACCAAGUUUUCUUAGAAAGGACUCAGCUUUUCCAGGACUCCCUGCCUGGAGCUACUGGGAUACAGAUCAAGCCACUGACAGCUCUAAGUGGUCGUUAACAAACUCUCACCUGAUUUACUGAGGUCAUUCUCCAUGAAAUAGUUUGGAAAACCUGCUCACAAAACAAGUUGAGGUUCAAGUUUUCUUUUAAAGCAGAGAAACACAAGGAGCUCUUUUGCUGAUGUAAAUGCCAAAGUGUUUUUCCUGUAUUGUUCUUGAAACAUCUUCUACCUCUGGAGUUCAGAACUGGGAGCCAGACAGUCCAACUUCCACUCCUCUGAGGUAAAAAAGCACAACAAGAGUUGUGUCCCUUCUGUGAGGGGGGAAAGAACAGGACACAUCUAAAUCAUCUCCACCUCCAGGUACCUGUUUUCAGUC